AUACGGAGGGUGCAAGCGUUAUCCGGAUUCACUGGGUUUAAAGGGUGCGUAGGCGGGUAUGUAAGUCAGUGGUGAAAUACCGGAGCUUAACUUCGGAACUGCCAUUGAUACUAUAUAUCUUGAAUAUUGUGGAGGUAAGCGGAAUAUGUCAUGUAGCGGUGAAAUGCUUAGAGAUGACAUAGAACACCGAUUGCGAAGGCAGCUUGCUACGCAAAUAUUGACGCUGAGGCACGAAAGCGUGGGGAUCAAACAGGAUUAGAUACCCUGGUAGUCCACGCCCUAAACGAUGAUUACUCGACAUUAGCGAUACACAGUUAGUGUCUGAGCGAAAGCAUUAAGUAAUCCACCUGGGAAGUACGACCGCAAGGUUGAA
rnacentral:rRNA from 1 species